rnacentral:rRNA from 1 species
AGCAGCCGCGGUAAUUCCAGCUCCAAUAGCGUAUAUUAAAGUUGUUGCAGUUAAAAAGCUCGUAGUUGAAUUUCGGGGUUAGUAGGUUGGUCAUGCCUCUGGUAUGUACUGGUCUCACUGAUUCCUCCUUCCUGAUGAACCUUAAUGCCAUUAAUUUGGUGUUUUGGGGAAUUUGGACUGUUACUUUGAAAAAUUAGAGUGUUUAAAGCAAGCUAACGCUUGAAUACAUUAGCAUGGAAUAAUGAAAUAGGACGUUCGAUCCUAUUUUGUUGGUUUCUAGGAUUGACGUAAUGAUUAAUAGGGAUAGUUGGGGGCAUUAGUAUUCAAUUGUCAGAGGUGAAAUUCUUGGAUUUAUUGAAGACUAACUACUGCGAAAGCAUUUGCCAAGGAUGUUUUCAUUAAUCAAGAACGAAAGUUAGGGGAUCGAAGACGAUCAGAUACCGUCG